rnacentral:rRNA from 1 species
UACGUAGGGGGCAAGCGUUGUCCGGAAUUAUUGGGCGUAAAGAGCGCGCAGGCGGCUGGUCAAGUCCGAUGUGAAAGCUCCCGGCUUAACUGGGAAACGGCAUCGGAAACUGAUCGGCUUGAAGGUGGGAGAGGGUAGUGGAAUUCCUGGUGUAGUGGUGAAAUGCGUAGAUAUCGGGAGGAACACCAGUGGCGAAGGCGACUACCUGGCCCACUCUUGACGCUGAGGCGCGAAAGCUAGGGGAGCAAACGGG